UUUAGAGGAAGUAAAAGUCGUAACAAGGUCUCCGUAGGCGAACCAGCGGAGGGAUCAUUACCGAGUUUACAACUCCCAAACCCCUGUGAACAUACCACUUGUUGCCUCGGCGGAUCAGCCCGCUCCCGGUAAAACGGGACGGCCCGCCAGAGGACCCCUAAACUCUGUUUCUAUAUGUAACUUCUGAGUAAAACCAUAAAUAAAUCAAAACUUUCAACAACGGAUCUCUUGGUUCUGGCAUCGAUGAAGAACGCAGCAAAAUGCGAUAAGUAAUGUGAAUUGCAGAAUUCAGUGAAUCAUCGAAUCUUUGAACGCACAUUGCGCCCGCCAGUAUUCUGGCGGGCAUGCCUGUUCGAGCGUCAUUUCAACCCUCAAGCCCUCGGGUUUGGUGUUGGGGAUCGGCGAGCCCUUGCGGCAAGCCGGCCCCGAAAUCUAGUGGCGGUCUCGCUGCAGCCUCCAUUGCGUAGUAGUAAAACCCUCGCAACUGGAACGCGGCGCGGCCAAGCCGUUAAACCCCCAACUUCUGAAUGUUGACCUCGGAUCAGGUAGGAAUACCCG
rnacentral:rRNA from 1 species